GUUGCAAAGUCGAGCGCUCAGCCGAGGGAAACGCAGGAGCCGGGGCUGCUCUGUGUGACAGAUCUGCUGCCAUACAUCCUGCUCGCCCUGCCUAGCACUUGUGUCCUUCAGCACAUGGCACCCGUGCUGAAGGCCCCAGCGCUUGCACUGGGAGUACAGGAGCACCAGCAUCCCAGCUCACAAAAACACAAACGUACCAAAACAGUUAGCGUUCCAGUUCAAGUAUCCAAACCCAUCCAAGGGACUUCCGUGAGCAGCAUUCAGCACUGCUGUGCUACGGAGAUUUCAGCCAUCCAGACACAGCAGCACGUGAGUGCCUUCACCCGGAGCGGGGCAUCCAACGCCACGGCUCAGAUCGGUGAGCACUGGGGCAGGAGCACACACCGCUCCUGCAGUCUGGUUUUCACAUUCCCCUGUGUUUAACUAACAGCUGUGCAGCCCACUGAUGGAGCAGAGAUGUUCUUCUUCUGGCACUUAAACACCACAGCCCACCCUCAGCCCCAGCUGCGUCUCAUCCAAGUGGCACAGCACCGCUGUGGAGAUGCAGGGGGAAACACAGACCUCAGACGUGGCUCAAUAUGAUUGUAGAUGGCUGAAAAAGGCAGCCAUUAACGUUUUACUGGGCACUGUGGAGAUGGGUCAGUGGUUGGAUCUGAUGAGCUUAGAGUUUUUCCAACCCUAAUGAUUCUAUGACAAAUAAGGCAUUAACUCCAGGCCAGCCCGAGCCCUUGUUUGAGGUCGCACAGAAGGAGAAGAGCAGAAGUGCUUCGUGCUGCCCAACAAACACUGCUCGAGGUCAGGUCUGCCACCUCCCAGCACCUGAAGGUGCGACUUUGCGACGUUAAUGCUUUUCUAGCAGAUAUUUAUGUGCUCGAGAGUAACACAAUAUACACAGCCCUCCCCCCGGAAAUAACUACACCAUAUUAAAGUUUACAAAUGUUCUGCUCGGUGUCACUGCUCUGUGGAAAUACACGAGCUGUGGUGCUCAAAAGGCAAGGUACGUCAGACACGGCUCCUGCAGGAGGGCAUUGCGUCGUCCUGUGCCCGCCGCUGCACCCCACAUCUCCGUGUCACUCCUGAGCCUCCUUGCGAGCCAGCUUGUAAACCUCUGUGGGGCCGUCCACGUGGGUGAUGGUGGUGGUGAGCUGCAGCUCCUCCCCGCUGCUCACCCCCAGGUCACCAUUCGACUGGUCCUCUCCAUAGUUCUUGUGUGACGGUGCAUACAGGAACAUGAGUGCAAAGACGUAGAGGUUCCACAUCCCGUAGAUGCCGGUGAAGAAGGCACUGUUCACCUGUAUCGUGAUGUCCCCCCACUUCCAGUGGCCUUCUGUCACCUGGCUCACGAUGAAGAAAAUGACUGUCAUGGCUGCACAAGCCAGGGUGAUGAGCAUCAGGAACUUGAACCGAAAGAUCAGCCCCUCGUAAUGCAGGCGGCGGGCCUUGCUCAUCGCUGGCAGGCUGGACUGCUUUCCACUGAUGUUUCUGAACACUUGGAAGACCAUAAAACACAGGAAGAGAAAAUAGAGGCACAAGCAAAUUCCUGCGACUAUAAUGAAGGCCAUGGCCAGCUCUGUGCCAACCUCGGUGGUCCAGAUGCUGUAGAAGGGGUUUUUCAGCUGCACUCCCCU
rnacentral:lncRNA from 1 species